UACGUAGGUGGCAAGCGUUGUCCGGAUUUACUGGGCGUAAAGGGCGCGUAGGCGGCAAUUCAAGUCAUCUGUGAAAUCUCCGGGCUUAACCCGGAACGGUCAGGUGAUACUGUUUUGCUAGAGUGCGGAAGGGGCAAUCGGAAUUCUCGGUGUAGCGGUGAAAUGCGUAGAUAUCGAGAGGAACACCAGAGGUGAAGACGGGUUGCUGGGCCGACACUGACGCUGACAGCGCGAAAGCCAGGGGAGCAAACGGG
rnacentral:rRNA from 1 species